GAUGAACGCUGGCGGCGUGCCUAAUACAUGCAAGUCGAACGCACAGCGAAAGGUGCUUGCACCUUUCAAGUGAGUGGCGAACGGGUGAGUAACACGUGGACAACCUGCCUCAAGGCUGGGGAUAACAUUUGGAAACAGAUGCUAAUACCGAAUAAAACUCAAUGUCGCAUAACACAAAGUUAAAAGGCGCUUUGGCGUCACCUAGAGAUGGAUCCGCGGUG
rnacentral:rRNA from 1 species